GCAGAUGCUAAGGAAUGUUCAUUGGCUGAAUGAAUGAACAAGCAAAGAAACGCAGCUGUCCGAGGUGAUGUGUGGAAUUUCCAAGCCCCAGGAGGUUAAGCGGGUUGUUGAAGGUCGCAGAGCCAGACAGCAGUGAGUUUCCAGGUGAUACACCUUCAUUCCUUGGGACUGGCUUCUUCACUGGAAGAAAAUAUGUCUCCAGGAGCUCUGGGCUUACUUCCUCAGAGCUUUAUAGCCAAAGAGGAAAAAGAGUGUCUCCCCCUGCUUCAAUUUGAAAACUCAUGGAGAAGAACUCUGAUUGGCCCAGCUUGGGUCAUGUGCCCCUCCCUUGGUGACACUGAAGCUAGAAAAUGAGGCCCUUUGAUUGACUCAACUUGGGUCACAUGACCUCCCUGUGGCUGAGAGGAUGGGGUCUGUUGAAGGAGAAAGGGAAAAGGGAUGCUGGAUAGGUAAACAGAACAGUGCUUGGAGCUGCACCUGACUCUGACUCCAUCGGUUGCUGUGCCUCUGGCUUUCAGCCAUGUUAGCACCACCCAGCCAGAGGAUGUUGGGUCAAUUUGCUCAGGACCCCGAGCAAAGUCUAUAUUCCUUCCAGCAGGGUUAUUGCUACUAUUGAAUGAUGGGGUUAGAUAUAUUAAGUGCCUACCAUCUUGCCAGGCACAGAGAUAGUGUCCUUCCCAUUCCUGUGGGUGGGAAGAGCCCUGAGAUUCUCUCCUGGGCUCUAUCUGUCUUGAUGUGCCCCCAUCAGAGGGAAGAGCCCCUCCCAUCCUUACCUAAGCCCCUGGGGAUUCAGGGCCAGGAAGCUCCCCUUGGGGGGAGUCCAGGGAACUGCCCAACAGUCAAGAGAUGGGCCUGCUCUUGCUGGGUGCUAACCAGGUGAUCUUGGGUGACUCGCUCAGCGCAUCAAGUCUCAGUGUUUUGUCUGCAAAUGCGGACGUGCUGUGGUGGGCGCACCGUGGUAAGGGCUAACAGACAUGCUGUGUGGAGCCCACUAAGCACAAUGCCUGUCACUCAGGGAAGUCCCACUAAAUAUUUGCUAUUAAUAAUUGGUCUCGGUAAUAGUUAGACUCAGGCUUGGCCACCACAGAAAGCAUAGCCCCAGAGUGGCCCUGAGUGGAAGGGAGGUUUUUGUUUGUACCCUCCAGCCUGGUGAGGAUGGAGGAGGCCUUCUCUGGCUCUCGCAGCCUGGAUACCAGAUGGCAUGUGAUCUGGCCUGUCCCUGUCCACAGGAAGCAAGUGAUGAAGAAGAGGUUGAAAGCUCUUAGUGCUGCCAAAGCAGAGGGGUUGUAGGGAGGAGACUCAGAAGAGAUGCAGGGUGUGGGCCACUGUCACUCACCCACUGAGGGCAUCCUCUGUCGGCCACAUCACCACUCCAGGUAGGCCAGCCCUGCUCUUGCACAGGUUGGCUGAUUGGGAGCAGAUUCUGACUACAGCCAACUGGGGCAGUCAGCCCGGGCAACAGGAACAAGGAGGCAUGGCCACUGUACUGAGGGUUCCUUGCGCUCCAGCUCAGGGUUUAGAGCACGACUCUGCAGUUAGCCAGCCUGGGUUGAACCUGUUAUUAGUUGUGUAACAUGCACACUUUUUAUUUUAUUUUAUUUUAUUUUUGAGACAGGGUUUCUCUCUGUUACCCAGGCUGGGGUGCAAUAGUGCAAUCAGGGCUCACUGCAGCCUCCAACUCUUGGGCUCAAGCGAUCCUGCCUCAUCCUCUCAAAUACCUGGGACUACAAGCAAGCACCACCAUGCCUAGCUAAUUUUCUUAUUUUUUUGUAGAGAUGAGGUCUCAAUAUGUUGCCCAGGCUGCUCUCAAACUCCUGGACUCAAGUGAUCCUCUUGCCUCCGCCUCACAAAGAUUUGGGAUUACAGGCAUGAGCCACUGCACCUGGCCUAACCUGGACACUUUAUUUAUUUAUUUUUAUUAUUUUUAUUUUUUUG
rnacentral:lncRNA from 10 species